AACGUACGCUGGCGGCACGCCUAACACAUGCAAGUCGAACGAAGUAGCAAUACUUAGUGGCAGACGGGUGAGUAACAUGUAGGUAUCUGCCCUUUGGCCUGGAAUAACACGAGGAAACUUGUGCUAAUACCGGAUAAGUCUUUACGGAGAAAGCUUUAUGCACCAUUGGAUGAGCCUGCACUUGAUUAGUUUGUUGGUGGGGUAAUGGCCUACCAAGACUGUGAUCAAUAGCUGAUUUGAGAGGAUGAUCAGCCACAUUGGGACUGAGACACGGCCCAAACUCCUACGGGAGGCAGCAGUGGGGAAUCUUGCACAAUGGAGGAAACUCUGAUGCAGCGAUGCCGCGUGAGUGAAGAAGGCCCUUGGGUUGUAAAGCUCUUUCGUCGGGGAAGAAAAUGACUGUACCCGAAUAAGAAGGUCCGGCUAACUUCGUGCCAGCAGCCGCGGUAAUACGAAGGGACCUAGCGUAGUUCGGAAUUACUGGGCUUAAAGAGUUCGUAGGUGGUUGAAAAAGUUAGUGGUGAAAUCCCAGAGCUUAACUCUGGAACUGCCAUUAAAACUUUUCAGCUAGAGUAUGAUAGAGGAAAGCAGAAUUUCUAGUGUAGAGGUGAAAUUCGUAGAUAUUAGAAAGAAUACCAAUUGCGAAGGCAGCUUUCUGGAUCAUUACUGACACUGAGGAACGAAAGCAUGGGUAGCGAAGAGGAUUAGAUACCCUCGUAGUCCAUGCCGUAAACGAUGUGUGUUAGACGUUGGAAAUUUAUUUUCAGUGUCGCAGGGAAACCGAUAAACACACCGCCUGGGGAGUACGACCGCAAGGUUAAAACUCAAAUGAAUUGACGGGGACCCGCACAAGUAGUGGAGCAUGUGGUUUAAUUCGAAGAUACGCGCAGAACCCUACCAACACUUGACAUGUUCGUCGCGACUCUAAGAGAUUAGAGUUUUCGGUUCGGCCGGACGAAACACAGGUGCUGCAUGGCUGUCGUCAGCUCGUGUCGUGAGAUGUUGGGUUAAGUCCCGCAACGAGCGCAACCCUCACUUUUAGUUGCCAUCAUUAAGUUGGGCACUCUGAAAGAACUGCCAGUGAUAAGCUGGAGGAAGGUGGGGAUGACGUCAAGUCCUCAUGGCCCUUACGUGUUGGGCUACACACGUGCUACAAUGGUAUCUACAACAGGAAGCAAGACUGCGAAGUUAAGCAAAUCCCUAAAAGAUACCUCAGUUCGGAUUGCACUCUGCAACUCGAGUGCAUGAAGCUGGAAUUACUAGUAAUCGUGGAUCAGCGUGCCACGGUGAAUGCGUUCCCGGGUCU
rnacentral:rRNA from 1 species